GACAGAGGUGCCAAGCGUUAGGCGGAAUCACUGGGCUUAAAGCGUGUGUAGGUGGAUUUGUAAGUACCUUGUGGAAUCCCAUGGCUCAACCAUGGAACUGCUCGGUAUACUGCGAAUCUUGAGCCACUUAGGGGCUACCGGAACAAAUGGUGGAGCGGUGAAAUGCGUAGAUAUCAUUUGGAACGCCAAUGGUGAAAACAGGUAGCUGGGAGUGUGCUGACACUGAGACACGAAAGCCAGGGGAGCGAACGGG
rnacentral:rRNA from 1 species